UUAAAUUGAAGAGUUUGAUCAUGGCUCAGAUUGAACGCUGGCGGCAGGCCUAACACAUGCAAGUCGAACGGUAACAGGAAGCAGCUUGCUGUUUUGCUGACGAGUGGCGGACGGGUGAGUAAUGUCUGGGAAACUGCCUGAUGGAGGGGGAUAACUACUGGAAACGGUAGCUAAUACCGCAUAACGUCGCAAGACCAAAGAGGGG
rnacentral:rRNA from 1 species